UACAAAAUAGAAAAGGUACAUUAAUAUACCUUUUAUUUGGAUUUAAAUGAUAAUUUUUCAUGUAAAGAAAACUAAAAAUGUUCGUGAAGAAGUUUGAUAAUUUUAGGUUUUAUGUGAGGCCGCUUUGUGAACUACAGCUCUUCGCUGCACUCGACGCAUAUGAUAUACGUCACCACACCCGCCCUUGGAACUCGGCACAGAGAUGGCGAUCUCCCUGCCCCACUUCACCGCUUUUUCCAAGGGGAGGAUAAAAGCAUCGAAAGAGGUGAAAACCAUUAUAAAUCGGAGCACGUGCAGAGUUUCAGUUAUGCCGAUGGGAAGAUUGUCGGUCUUCUCCACGCCAGUCGCAGGGAGCGUGACGUCACAUACGAGCCGUGUAGUCUUUCUCGUUGUGUUUUCUCUACAGCCUUUAUCUGAACAAUUCCAAAAUAAACGGUCAAACUCUUUGCAUGAAUAAUUAUCAUUUAAAUCCACAAACAACAUAUGUGUAAUCCAGGGCAUAUAAAGACCGGGACCAGAAAAUAAUUAUUUUCUCUCCAUUGACACCCAUUCAUAUUUUUCGAUCUCAUAGGUCCCAUGAGCCCUACCGGAAGGGGCGUGACUUCGCCACUCUUGUGUUCACCUGUGUCGCCCCGCACGCGCGGCAAUGCAUUAUUUUGCGAUGAUCCCAAACGCUUAAAAUGGUCCCGCGGUUGCUUGUUUUUUUUUUGUGCGUUUUUGACUGAACAAUCCGGACAACGUGGCCACCAACGGAGGAGCGAGGAACCCCGCAUGUUUUCUACAGUGUGUUCCUGAAGGGACUGAGGCGACGCAUUCGGAGGUCCAUGCGAUGGCGGUCAGCGGGAGGUGUCAGGACCAACCAGCUCCUCGUCCAGGAAAGGGGAAUUCAUCAGACCGAUUAAAGGUCACGAUGGAAGAGCAGAUGGCUGUGCAGUUGCCAUGGUGGAGAGAUCCAGAGUACGAUGACCGAACAGUUGAUCUACAACGAUGGCCUACUCCCCAUCCACCCUGAGGAUCCCUAGCUACACCUACAAUCCAAUCUACACCAGACAUAACCACUCGGAGCUCAACAACUCCUACAACUCCUCCUGCCUCCUACACACCAUACUGUUACCACUUUACCAUUUUAACUUUAAAACAAAGUACUGUAAUUCACACCAUGUUGUAGGAAAAGCAUGUUUAGCUCAAUGAUUUAUACAUUCUAUUUCUGUGGCCCCAACUAUUGUAUUUCUAACCCAGUUACCUCUGAACCCUCUUUCUAAGGGAGCGACUAAAGGGACAAAGCUGGAGCUAACCUGAGCUUAACAAUCUUUCUAAUCUUUCUUUCAAAUGUCCUAUAUUGAAUCACAUAAAAUGCCUAAAGUAACUUGUCUAACAAAACAAAAAGCCAACCUAAUACCCAAACUUAACCAUCUAACUAAAGAUCUCAAAUGCCUAAACUCUUACCUUAACCUAGUACCUAAACUGAACCAUCUAACUAAACAUCUCAAAGGCAUAAACUCGCUUACCUCAACCUAACCUAAUACCCAAACUUAACCAUCUAACUGAAGAGCUCAAACGCCUAAACUCUUACCUUAACCUAGUACCUAAACUGAACCAUCUAACUAAACAUCUCUAAUACCUAAACUCUUUCCUAAUACCUAAAUAAUCUUUAAUACAAUCACUAAUGCCUAAACUUAACCAAACACCAAUAAUAAAAGUUAACCAUCCUUAAUCUUAAACCCAAACCAGACUUGUCCCUGGGUCGCUCCACUUUGUGUCUUUGAAGGCAUCUCUUUUCCCCCACAUCUGUGUUUUAUUCCUUGAGGACUCCAAGUACUUCAGAUGAUAUUUGAAAACUUGUUUCAUUAAUAAAGAUACUUCAUCUUUACAGAUUUUGUUUUGGGGAAUUGGGACAGUUGAGCAGCUUAAGCAUCCUUACUGGUGAACCUGAUCUGACGAUAUCAAUUUUAGGACUAUGAAGCCAAUAACAUAAGGCCGGAUAUGUGAAAAGACAAGGUAGACAAUGACCGAGGAGUCAACAAGGAGUUGAUUGGUAAACAUCUAACAUGGAACAAAAUGCCUAUUUAUUGAUCUGCUACCAGGCUAUCGCAGUAGGGGAAUCUGAAGGAGUACCCUACACUGUUGCAGGGGUUCUUGCUAGUUUGCAUUACGGCUGAGGCCAUUCAUUACGAUUG